rnacentral:misc_RNA from 1 species
AGACGAGAGAUGUUCCGGGCCUGAUCACACCGCCCGUCACCCUUGAGAGUUUGUAACACCCAAAGUCGGUGGGGUAACUUUUUAGGAGCCAGCCGCCUAAGGUGGGACAGAUGAUUAGGGUGAAGUCCUAACUGGGUAGCCGUAGGAGAACCUGCGGCUGGAUCACCUCCUUUCUAAGGAAUUAAUCGGAAACCUACACAUAUGUCCAAACAGUGUUCAGUUUUGAGGGGUUUACCUCUCAGCUUGCACUUUGAAAACUACAUAAUAUCAACUUCUAAUACACUCAAUAAAACCGAGAACACCGCGUUAUUUGAGUUUUUCACAACUAAUAUUCCUGUUCUCACCUACCUUGAUUGAUCACCACAUCUUACACGGUUCAGUCCCAUUGGGAGUGGGUUUAAUGCCUUGAAACUAGUAUCCGCAUUAAGGACGGCUUCAACACCUUUUACCUGUAGGAAGAGGCUAACUCCCGUUAUCACCUCAGGUAGCUGAAUGGGGGACCCAAUGCCUCGGCUAUGAAACUUGGGCGUCUACUAUAUAUCAUGACCCC